AUUGAAACACCCCAUUAAUUACUUAUUCUUUUAUCUAGGCAGAAUUCUCUGAUAAAAAAGAAGGCAGCUUUUAAGAUAGAGUCUUUUACGGUUAUAGUGACAAGUGGAGAACAGAUCAAUCAGCUUUUAGCGGCUAAAAGAAGGAAAUCUUUCUUCUUGUGCUUGUGCUAGCACCUUGGAUGAAAUCCUUGUUCUUUCUUUGUUUGGGACGGAGGAUUAAAAUAAGAGCUGCGCCUCACCCCUAUUUGAAUGCCUUAUACCAUAACAUAAAAGGAACUAGAACUUCUUAAGAAACCUCUGCUCCGGUAUUGGCUGCGCUGAAAAAAGCCUUGAAUCCUUUAUAGCGAUCUCGCUACCUGCGAACAUUCUCUGGAAGUGAAGCAAUUUUAGCACAAGAGAAUGAACAGGGAAAGGGGAAUGCAUUAUACUACUUAAGCCGACGAUUCGUAGAGGUGGAAUAAAACUAUUCGCCAAUUGAAAAAGUGUUUUGUGCCUAGCUUUGGUCUUUGUUGCAAAAAGC
rnacentral:lncRNA from 1 species